rnacentral:lncRNA from 1 species
CGAAAAUGUUAUCGGAAUGCUGUUAUUUCCUCCGGAGUGGGGGUCAGCAAGCAGAAACAGACGAUGGCGAUUGAUAUUGAGCCCUUCACCGAGAGCAGUUCGGAACCGUUGGUGAUCCCUGCAGGUGGGACGGAGGAGAUCGAGUUGAUCAUAGGAAAGCCAGAUAAGACUGUGAAGAUCGGUUCGGGUCUACCAGAGCCUCUUCGGACAAACCUUAUGGAACUCUUACGCUGCUAUGCGGAUAUCUUUGCAUGGGAACCACAGGACGUGCCUGGAGUUAGCCGGAAGAUAGCUG